CCUACGGGAGGCAGCAGUGAGGAAUAUUGGUCAAUGGGCGCGAGCCUGAACCAGCCAAGUCGCGUGAGGGAAGACGGCCCUACGGGUUGUAAACCUCUUUUGCCGGGGAGCAACGGGCGCCACGUGUGGCGCCACUGAGAGUACCCGGAGAAAAAGCAUCGGCUAACUCCGUGCCAGCAGCCGCGGUAAUACGGAGGAUGCGAGCGUUAUCCGGAUUCAUGGGGUUUAAAGGGUGCGCAGGCGGGCCUUUAAGCCGGCGGUGAAAUCGCGGGGCUCAACCCCGCCGAGCCGGCGGAACUGGGGGCCUUGAGUGCGGCGGAGGCAUGCGGAAUGCGCGGUGUAGCGGUGAAAUGCAUAGAUAUCGCGCAGAACCCCGAUUGCGAAGGUAGCGUGCCGUGCCGCCACUGACGCUGAGGCACGAAAGCGCGGGGAUCGAACAGGAUUAGAUACCCGGGUAGUC
rnacentral:rRNA from 1 species